AUCCAUCAACUCGCUGUAAGGGUCUGAAGAUGCGCUGCAGGGCUCCAAUACUCCCCAAGCAACCACAGCUUCGAGCUGCCCGCCCUUCCCGCUCGCCUCGACUCGCUCCAGUUCCUCCUCCCGAUCUUCAUCAGUUGGACGAACAGGCUCGCGACCGGCAGCUUGCGGCGGACUCGAAGCUGGCGAAAAGAGUUUGCAGUGGUGUGUUUAUUCGGAGCAGCUGCUCACGCAACCGACGCAGGAUCGGCCGGCCCGCUUCGACCUCGACGCACCUUCCUUCUCCCUCGACCUGCCCCUCGCUCGCGCCUCGCCCGGGGCUUUGCGUGCGAACGUGGCCACGUUGCUACUGUAUGAAGCUUCGACCUACUAUUGAGGUGCUCACAGAAACCGAGUGGGUACUUUCGGACCUGGCUCGGUUGUGCUGGUGUUCGCUCCUCUUGCCGCACCGGACAGACAUGCGAUGCGGGUGCGCGCACGGUGCAUAAUCACGCCUCGCGAUACACCUGAAUCUUCGGCGCCCGCAGUCCUCCCGCCUUCUCGCACCCCGUUGCCGUUUGAGGCGUACUCAAGCUCGCCCUGCCCGCAGCACGUACAAGCUCAUCCGCCGAGCGCUUCUUGGAGGUUCCCGUUUGCAGUCCACUUGACGAAGCAGACGACGCAGGCGACCCCGGACCACAACAAGCAGUCGUCGCUCGACAAGGAAUGGACGGCUCGUUCUUCGACUCGAACGGGAUGGGAUCUGAUGCUCGCGACAGGUGUAUCCGGGACGCGAAGGGCCUCGGCAAGGACGGUUACGACCAGACUAGCUUCAACAAGGACAGCAAGAACCGCAACGAGGCGCCUCGCUCAGCGCGGCUACGACGCCUCGGGCGAGUACGUCAUGUCGACGUCACAAGCGGGAGCUAUCGACGCGAAAAGCGGGAGUUAUCGCGCAACAUUCGGGUCGAACCUUUCCUCGACAGUCGUCUCUCCUCACUGCUUUCGCUUCUCCCUUCCUCCCCCUCUUCUCACAUGUGCCGCCCGUUCCAACCGCGGUGCGGGAUCCUCCUUUCUCUCCGUCGUAGCUCUUUGUCGUGCAUUGUUCGUUGGAACGCAGCUUUCGCUCCUCGUCUGGC
rnacentral:misc_RNA from 1 species